AUACGUAGGUGGCAAGCGUUAUCCGGAAUUAUUGGGCGUAAAGAGGGAGCAGGCGGCAGCAAGGGUCUGUGGUGAAAGCCUGAAGCUUAACUUCAGUAAGCCAUAGAAACCAGGCAGCUAGAGUGCAGGAGAGGAUCGUGGAAUUCCAUGUGUAGCGGUGAAAUGCGUAGAUAUAUGGAGGAACCCCAGUGGCGAAGGCGACGUUCUGGCCUGCAACUGACGCUCAGUCCCGAAAGCGUGGGGAACAAAUAGGAUUAGAUCCCCUAGUAUUCCACGCCGUAAACGAUGAGUACUAAGUGUUGGAUGUCAAAGUUCAGUGCUGCAGUUAACGCAAUAAGUACUCCGCCUGAGUAGUACGUUCGCAAGAAUGAAACUCAAAUGAAUUGACGGGG
rnacentral:rRNA from 1 species